UCUUUGAACUUCUAUAUCAUCUUCAAUAAAUAUCAUAGCUUUGAAUUCAGGCUCAUCAAGUGAAAGAUUAGUAAUUUCUAAUAUUCUCAUAUCAUCAAGAGACUCAAAUCCAUCUCAUAAAUGAGAGAACUUUGCUCGCAGCCACGGAAGUAAAUACGACGCAUCUUUUUUUUUUUAUUUCUUUUUGUUUUUCAACGAACACGCGUAUCAGAUACGCGUGUCAUUUUGAAAUUAAAUAGUAUUUUAAUUGGAUACUUCUUUGACGUAUCCAACACGUAUCGGUGGAGUAUCGGAGGUGUAUCCGUGUAUCGGAUACAACACGCCUUCAUAAAUAGGUGUAUCGGUGCAACAUAGGUUGAAAGUGUUUUUGACAUGGCGUUGAAUUUGAUUAAAGUCGGGUACUGGACUGUUAAUUGUAGAUAUUUAGGCGGUUUUUAGGAAAGGUUGAUGUGGUUUCUUUGAAAUAAGAAAGAAUAUUUAGAAUUUUUUAAAUAACAAAAUUCGUUUAUGACCUUUAAAAUUUAGAUUAUUUUUUAAACCACUUCAACUAUUAUUUCUUUCAAAAUUUCAACUGAUAUAAGGAUGCAUAUAUGUAUGCUAAUAUGUUAAUUAUGCCAAAAAUUUCAAACCAAUAAGCACGCAUAUCGAUAACUAAUCCACCUAGUUUAGUAUCCGAAGAUGUCCCUUCUGAUCGAUGCUUGGUCAUCAAGGAUGAGAUCUUACCUUUAUCUUAAUUGAAUUUGAUUCAUUAGCUUAUGAUAUUCCUUACUGGAUUCAUCUGCCUAUCAAACUCUUUCAUACAAAGUCAGAUGUACUAUCAUUUUAUGUAAGUUAUUAGGGAUUUGAUCCUUCUAGCUAAUCACUUUUAAUUAUAAUACUAUCAAAUGUUUGAUCAAUUUAUUGUUGUAAAUUUGCAUCCAAUUGGCAUGACCACUAAAUUUCCUAUUCAAUGCAUUAGCCACCAUAUUGGGCUAUAUUGGAUAUCAACAUCAUAAUCCUUGAUUAAUUCUAAUCAUCUUUGUUGCCUCAAAUUUAAUUCCUUAUUUUAAAAUUUAUUUUAAAUUUUUGUGAUCAGUAAAUAUUUCACACCUCACACUAUAUAAAUAAUAUACUCUAGAUUCUCAAAGCUAACACUAUUGUAGCCAACUCUAGGUCAUGUGCUGAACAAUUCUUUAUCAUUAGUGUUGAUAUUAAGCUCUAUUAAACUAUAACACAAGAUAAUAAUGUAGUUGGGCAGAAGUAUAGGUAUGUAAGAAUAUAAAACUUUUUGGAUCCUUAAAAAACAUAAAAAUAAGAAUAUCCUUAAAAUCUCUAGCAAGGCCAAUACAAGUCACGAAAUAUGGAUUCCUUUUGAGAUAACCUUCAUACAUAACUUUAUUACUCCUUUAUCGUGUUUACUCGUUACAUCAAUUUAAAACUAGCACCCACCUCAAAGGUAAAAUGUUGUAAAAAAAAAUUGAUUUACUCAUUUAAGAGGAAAAAUUGAAUAUAUCUAUACUACUGUAAAUUGUGAAUUUUUAUUCUACCAUUAAGCGAUCCUCAUUAUUAUUUUUUAAUUAAAAUUAAUCUGCACUGUUUGAUUUUGUGACUCUUCAUAUUCCUCUCCCGUCUUCCCAUUUCUUUCUUCGGCUUCGAGUGAGGAAUUUUGAAACCAUUUCUUUUUUCAGCUUCGCAUGAGAAGUUUUGAAAGAGUCCCUAAAAGGGCCUUCUUGGCCUUCUCCUCUCUGAUAGGAAGUCAGGCUUCAAGUCAGGAGUUUUGAUAAAGUCGGUAAAAGGACUUUCUUCUCCUUUUGGAUCAGAGGUUAUGACGGAUUCCUCCUCUCUUGGUGGGAAGGAGAUAACAAACUAAGUUGUUGAAAUCGAAAGUCAUGCCGAGAUUGGAAGGCACGAUGAGAAUUCACUAAGAAGUUAAAUCUUGCUUAAAUCCUACUACCAAACAACAAUAAUUUGUUACAAUUCGGAGAAGAGGUGUUUUGUGUGGAAUUUCUUGGUGUGGUGGUGAUGAUAUCUUCACUCAGGACUGCAACUUCGAUACGAGUAUAUCAGAAAUGGGAAUAAUCGUAAGCCUUGCAACAACCACUUGAUUAUUUAUUUACUUAUUUAUUAGUUCAUGUAAAUUAUGUAAAAAAGCUUGAAGUGUUUUUUUUCCUUGUGUGAAUUAUAUCUUCAGCAAGCGAGAAAGAAGUUUGGACUUCCUGAGAAGCACAACGAUUAUGUGGUGAGAGCUAAGUCAUUCCAUAAUAAAGAAGAGACUCUUCAUAUACUUGGAGAGUAAGUCAUGUCCAGGAACCCAGAUGAGUUAUAUUUCAAGAUGAUAAGUUUGAGAGUGAUUGAUGGAGCACAUAAACCAAAGAGUCAAGCAAAUAAGUAUAGCACGAUGAACCCAUGCUGAUGAGGACUUAAGAUAUUGGAUAUGUCAUUCAAAAACUUUAGACUGAGAAGAAGGUGACUGCUGUGGGGAUCAAUACUGAAUGGGGAUUAUUGAUGGCCAGUAUAUUGGAAGGCAGUGGUGAACAAACUCCAUUAUAGACUCUUCACCGGUCAUACAAAGAAUUUUGAUGGAAGUGUUCAAUUUGUCAAGGGGCACAAGUGUGAAAGAUGCUGUAGAUGGAGCUGUUAAGAUUUUGACUAUUGCGGUGACUAUUAUGGUCGUUGUUGUACCUAAAGGUCUUCCAUUGGCUGUUACAUUGAUAAGAUGAUGGCAAACAAAGCAUUGGUGACUAUUAUGGUUUUUGCUGUACCUAAAGGUCUUCCAUUGGCUGUUACAUUGAUUCUUGCCUACUCAAUGAAGAAGAUGAUGGCAAACAAAGCAUUGAUAUGCUUCUCUUCUUAUCAUUUCACAAGUUGAUAUCCUCCGAAGCUGUAACGUAGCCAUAUGAAAGACUUGGAUCUUGUUAAUCUAGUUACUAAUUAGCAUGUGAAUUAUAAAUAGGUGACUAUUAUGGUUGUUGUUGUACCUAAAGGUCUUCCAUUGGCUGUUACAUUGAUUCUUACCUACUCAAUGAAGAAGAUGAUGGCAGACAAAGCAUUGAUAUGCUUCUCUUCUUAUCAAACUAGAAUCUAUACUUUCAACUUUUAUUAAGUUGCUAUGUUACAGCUUCGGAGGCUAUCAACUUGUGAAACAAUUGGAUCUACCACUACCAUAUGCAACGAUAAAACUGGAAAUCUAACAUUGAAUCAGAUUUUGUGCGUCACCAUGUCCACGUUUCUGCUUUAUAGGAAUUGGAUGGUGGACUCAACACUUAAGUACCGGAAAACUAAUAAAAUUGUCCUUUGUUCAAGAGGUACGGAUCUGCCUUUUACUUUUGGAUUUUGCUACAGGUACAAGACGUUGCUUCCCCAGCUUUGCAGAUGAUAUUAUUCAUGCAAUUCUUUUUGUGAUGAAUAAUCACCGUUCAAGUCUAAUAAAUACAUUUGAAGACGAUGAUUGCUCCAAAAGUCUAAGAAUUCGUCUAAACAAGUAUUCAGAGGUUAUUUUCUUAAUACCUAUCUGAUUGCUAGUUAAGGGAAUGUGGAGAAAAGUUUUCUUUCUUCCAGCUUCAAAUGCCUUGUAAUCACUGCUAGACUAACCAGUUAACUUUUCCGGUUCUCCUCAGUUAGUUUUGUUUUACGUGACACAAAUCCUUGCAGUGUUUAUUGUUCCUAGAAAUAUUUAAUGCAAUACGAUAACUAGCAGAUGAUACUGAUUAGCGUAUUUUUAUAAGUAUUUGUUUACUACUGGAGUCAUGGUUUUUGUGCUUCCCGUGAAAGGUGUAUGCAGCCUUAUCUGUAUCGACCAAAGAGGUUUCCUCUUAUGUUUUAAACCUGUUCGUCAAGUUUAUACUUGAAUCAACUAAACUAUUGCUACCAUGUCAAGUACUAUUCUCAA